AGACGUCUUUAUUUGUAAAUUAAUACAACUUGUAAUUGUUGCUUUAUUAAGUUGAUGAUUAACAUGUCUUCCAUAUUUCAUAGUUGGUGCUUAGUGCGAUUAGCAUCUGCAACCUGACAAUAUAACGUUUAUGUCAUUAAUAAAAGGGAAUAACCAUUCAAUGACCCUGGUAUAAAAUCAAAUUUGAAAAAAAAACCAAUCUAUAAUCUUCAUGAUCAAAUUAGAUAUUAACAUUAGGGAUUACACUGUUCAAAU
rnacentral:lncRNA from 1 species